rnacentral:lncRNA from 1 species
CCGAGGCUCAACUCACUUCUCGCAAUAUGAGUUGAUUUUGAAAACAAAAAUUAAAAAUACCUCAACGUUUCUUGAGGCUCAACUCAUCUCUCGCAAUAUGAGUUGAUUUCCCUUGAAAAGCAUGAAUUAAAAACAUCAAAAUACCAAAACCUGUCCUUUGGUAGAACUCGGGUGUCUUUUCCUUUGAUUCAGUGCGACUCUCAUUCAAGAUUUCU